CAUUCUCCUACGUCGGCAAUCUCGUCAAUCGAGCUAUUGAGCUACGAGUUUCUCUUCAGGCAGACUCACGAUUUCCUCAUUGUGAUAUCAUUGGUUUGUGGUGCUUAUUUAGUUGGCAAUGCAUUCACCACCAAGGAGUAUAAACAAGCGAAGGACACCUUCAAAGUUCCCUUCAAAUCUGAAGGGAAGGGAGACUUCAGAACAGUGAGCUUCAAGUUCAAAGAAGUUGCACCAAGAACAAGACUCACAUUCUACAGCUCCUUUUACCAUACUAGAAUUGAUGAUUAUGGAUCUCUCUGUGGCCCUGUUCUUGACCAGGUUAUAGUGUUCCCUGUCGCCUAAGUUAUUAAACCAUUAAUGUAGUACUUAGUAACUAUGAUUUUUGCAAGUUACUUGAGCCUGUCUUCUGUAUAAUUGCAUGAGACCAUAC